GACGAACCGAGCGAACGUUAUUCGGAAUCACUGGGCUUAAAGGGCGCGUAGGCGGGCCGUCAAGUCAGGGGUGAAAGCCCCCAGCUCAACUGGGGAAGUGCCUCUGAUACUGGCGGCCUCGAGCGAGGUAGGGGCGUGCGGAACUUCCGGUGGAGCGGUGAAAUGCGUAGAUAUCGGGAGGAACACCUGUGGCGAAAGCGGCGCACUGGACCACAACUGACGCUGAGGCGCGAAAGCGUGGGGAGCGAACAGG
rnacentral:rRNA from 1 species